ensembl:lncRNA
UGGCGUUGUGUAGAUCUCUCCAGGAGGAGGAGGGCGGCCCUACCCCUAAUAUAGCGUGGUGGGAGAGCCGAAGGAAUACUUAUUGAAGUAGUCACAACGACGACAUCACUAGCUAGGCCACAUAUUCCAUCGCCAGAUCCGAACCAAGCGAAGUGAAGGAAGACGGGUGUCCUUUUCGUACACUGAGUGUGGUGGAUAAACCCCCGCCUUCACGCACUUCGUCGCGGGAGGACAAGGAGACUGCUGGUCCUAGCCUAGUUCAGUACAGUAUAUGUUGUGAGCGUGCUUCAGAUCUCCGGAGAUAGCACGGUACGCUGUGUCCAGCCCAGAGGUGAAAGCCAUCCAAAGCAGAGUAACUGUGCUUUGUGUCCAAGUUGAUACCUGUGGAGAGGAAAGGAAAGAGAGAGUGAGUAACACAAGGAGAACCAGAGGGAACCUGUACUUACAGUACGCUGUGUUCAGCCCAGAGGUGAGAGCCAUUCAAAGCAAACUAACUGUGCUAUUGUGCCUAAGUUGAUACCUGUGGAGAGAAAAGGAGAGAGAGUGGGUAACACGAGGAGAGACCGAGGAAACCUGUACUUACGCCGCUGCCUGUGGAGAAAGAGAAAGCGA